ACCUCUUAGAACAACUUCCUAAGAGCACAGCACAUACCAGCUGCAAGAAUACAUGGCAACUUGGAAAUCAUCCUCCACUCUUCAAAAAGCAGGAAUAUAAGGGAAGCAAGUCUCUAUUGAUUUCCUCAGCAGAUGUCAGUCACACAGCCCAUCAAUAAUGCUGGGAAGACAUCGUGCCCGAACAGAAAAAGAAACACGAAAGGGAAAACAUGUCCCUAUUGAGAUGUCAGAGGAGGGCAUCUAAAAGAUGACAUCUAGGCCGACUCUAAAAGAUGUGGCAGGCACCCAUCAAUGGGGACAAGAUAGCUGUAAUCAAAACCAGCAUGGGGUAACUCCCUGAGAGACUGAUGAAAGAAGAUAGAGGAUGAGAAGAACAAUCUAAGAAAAAAAGCACUUGUCAAACAGCAAUUGACUACAGCAUGAUGGUGCAAAACUCCUUGGUCCCAAUGAAGGAAGAUCACCAACCGAAUCCAGCUCCUACCUACCCGUGAUCAACCUCGCUGGCCACUAGAUUGAUCCGGAUUCUGGACUGGUAACUAUAACAUCGACUGGCGGGACAGUGUGUGUGUGUGUGUGUGUGUGUGUGUGUGUGAUUGAAUGCAUAUGCUAAUUUUUGUAUUUCCAAUAAAUGCAGCGUAUUGC